rnacentral:rRNA from 1 species
CAGCCGUAAACUAUGCGCGUUAGGUGUAUCGGUGACCACGAGUUACCGAGGUGCCGAAGGGAAACCGUGAAACGUGCCGCCUGGGAAGUACGGUCGCAAGGCUGAAACUUAAAGGAAUUGGCGGGGGAGCACCACAACAGGUGGAGCCUGCGGUUUAAUUUGGACUCAACGCCGGACAACUCACCGGGAACGACAGCAAUAUGUAGGCCAGGCUGAAGACCUUGCCUGAAUCGCUGAGAGGUGGUGCAUGGCGU